rfam:Hordeum vulgare subsp. vulgare, WGS project CAJW01000000 data, contig: morex_contig_1571393
GGAUUGAAGUGGAAGAAAAGAGGGCUUAAGAGCAGUGGGAGUGGGAACAUGGAGGAAAGCCCCUCUUGCUUUCUUUUCACCUCUAGUGUUGAAGGUGAGAAAUUUCUUUGUUGUUUUCCGAUGCCCAUUCCUAUUUUUCUCAAGCACUCCUUCCUCUUCCUAUCUUGG